UUAGGUUAUGCCUGUCAAUAGAAGAAAGAAGCUUGGAGGUUUCUUCUCCGUCUUUGAAGACUCACCGUUUAUCAGUCUGUCUUCGACACAUACUCAUUAUGCUGUUUGUGAAGGUCGGCUCUCUCCACAGGAGGUGUGCAAGGGAUUUCAGAGUCAGGAAAUAACAAGCACCAUGCACAGAGCGGAGGGAAGUUAGUUACUGGAGCUUUAGCAGAAGAGUCAUCUACUCGAGGUGACAGACAGAGUGACUUUGACUUCAUCCAGGACGAGAACAAGGCUGAGUGAGCGAUGCCACCCAGGUCGCUCCCAAUAACAAAACUGCUGAGUGCUUGCUUCUUCCCGUGUUUCCCAUUGGUGCGUUAUGGAAAUGGUACGUCUCUGCCUUGGCUUGAGCUAUGACACUUCUGGUUUCCAAAACAUG
rnacentral:lncRNA from 1 species